GCGAGGCGGGGAAAUGCAGCGUCUCAGGGAAUCCUGAGGAGGCACUGGGGCCGGAAAGGUCGGGCAGGUGGAGCGGGACGCCCCUUCUCUCACUGUGGGUAUUUUCAGAGAUGUGGGAUACUCGCCUGCAUUUUGGUUUGAUUUUCUAAACUUCAGCCGCAGCAGGACGGGCGGGCGCGGCCCGGGAACCUGGUUUCUUCAGGAACCACCCCAAAGCGAGGGGAAGGUGAGGACAUCUCCCUGCCCGUGGCUGACUGCAGAGCGGGAUGAAGAAGAUUGUGGCUUACACCCCAUGCUGCCAAAACUGCUACAGCCAAUGUGCUCAUGAACAAAAGGGCACUGAGAAGCCGGUGUCUUGUCUUAUAUGCCUUCCUAUGUAGAACUCAGAACCCCAAAGAAAACGGAGGUGUGGCAGACUGUGCUACCCAUGCUGUCCUUUGACAAGGUCUGGGCAUUUGGGGACACUCCCGAGAAGAGAGGAGUUCCUGCACUUCCCAGAAGAUCUGAACUAGGGAGUCUCCAUAGCUACGCCUGCUAAUGCUCUCCUGUUUGUUCUUGGUUAAUGCAGAAGUAAAAACCUAAUUCAGACCUAGACGCUAAUGCUUGUAAAAACCUAAAUCGGACCUAGACGCUAAUUGGUUUAUUUUUCUUAUGCUUGAAUCAUUAUUAAAGUAAGUAAACAAUGCUAAAGGUAUAGUCAGGAAAGCAAUGUUGUGGCACUGAGAAUUAUGGAGAACAAGCUGCCCUGAACCAGCUGUGCUUGGAAACCGUAGCCUAACCCAGGGGGUAUGUGUUUGCGGCAGCAGUACAUUUCCUGGUGUAUGCAAAGGGUCAGUAGUUCGCAGGCUGUGUGGAGGUUAGGUAUUUAUAGUUAAGAGUUAGAGUUCCGUAGAACUAACAUAGAUUUGAUGAGUUUCUUUAAGCCACUUUGAAGUUAUUGAUAAAUUAUCCAAGUUUAUCGAGUGCUAAGGAGAUAGGUUGAUUUCAGUAAUAGAAUAUAGAGUAGGGCUUUCACGCCCACUCUGAAACUGGGAAAGUUUAAUAGAAUGAUUGUCACCAAAUGUUGUGCUGUCUGAAAUAAUUGAUCAUGUUAGAAAAUGAGCUGUACUAAGAAAACUAAUUGUCCCUCAUGUUUUUUAAGGUAACCAAAGAAAUGCCCUUUUGGUAUGAGACCAAGGGAGUCUCUGUACAUUCAUGAGAAAGUAUGUAAUGAUUGUCUUUGUUCUGCUUCGAUGCUUAUGUUCAUGUAAUCUCACCGCUUGCCUGACUGUAUAAAUAAAGACCCGCUGAGACCCUCAGCAGGAGAUACUUGCACCAG